CAGUAGCCGCGGUAAUACGUAGGUGGCAAGCGUUGUCCGGAAUUAUUGGGCGUAAAGGGCUCGCAGGCGGUUUCUCAAGUCUGAUGUGAAAGCCCCCGGCUCAACCGGGGAGGGUCAUUGGAAACUGGGAAACUUGAGUGCAGAAGAGGAGAGUGGAAUUCCACGUGUAGCGGUGAAAUGCGUAGAGAUGUGGAGGAACACCAGUAGCGAAGGCGACUCUCUGGUCUGUAACUGACGCUGAGGAGCGAAAGCGUGGGGAGCGAACAGGAUUAGAUACCCCAGUAGUCCCUGUCUCUUAUAC
rnacentral:rRNA from 1 species